UCCAAAUUAACUUUUGAAGUUGGAUUUUUUUAACUUGAAUGAAAUUAUUGUAUUCCAUUUAUGAGAUUACAUUAUUCCAUUUAUACUCCCUGCAUUCUUUCAUUUUUUCCGUCAAACCUGAAUUUAAGAUUACAUAUUCAGACUUUAAUCUUGGAUUUCUUUUUCAACUGAAUUUACAUUUUGUAAACAGAAUGCAAUCAUGACCAAUUUAUGGACAAAAUCGAAAAUGCAAUCAGAUUCAAGUAAAAAUGAAAUCCAAAUUCAGUAAAAUGGGUAAAGAAAUUUUUCAAUCCAAAUUCAGUAAAUGGGUAAAGAAAUUCAACAAAUUUCAAGCAUAUUAGGGGAUUAAGAAAUCAAUUGAGCAAACAAAUUCAGCAAAUUCCAAACAAAUUCAACAAAUUGGUAAAGAAAUUCAACAAAUUUAGGAAAUCUAGCAACAAAUUUCAAACCACAUUCAGCAAAAGCGUAAAUUCACCAGCGAGAAGCACCGUCUUCGCUUGAAACUCCUCGCGCAGGCAGAGCAGACGGAGGAGUUGGCGUCGGGGAGGAAUCAGCGUCGCCGAGGCGGCGGACGACGGCGGACGACAACGUCGUGUAGAUCAGUGUCGGCCCUUCUUCCGCCACCGCUGUAGAUGUAGGAGGAGCUGUUUCCACCGUCGCGUGGUUAGGCUGGAGCUCUGCUCGCCGGACUUGCCCUCUCUCAGCGGCGCGUCGUCCUCGUCGGCGUCGUCUCUCCAGUAACAGCUCUUGCCCAAAAUGAGAGAGAGUUAGGGUUUCUCUCUCAAAACUGGGAAGAUUUAACAAAACUAGCAGCGACACCUCUUACCCAAAAUGAGAGAGAGUUAGAUUUUCUUGAAAAUGGGAAGAUUUAAUAAAUUAGAAUUAGUAGUUAAUUAAGGAAUUAAGUGGGUUAUUGAGGUGGAUGCAUGAAUGGCAAAAUAAAAUAAAUAUUGAAGUCCAUGAAGGGUAUAAUUGUACAAAAAGUGAAAUGGGAC
rnacentral:lncRNA from 1 species